AGCGAACGCUGGCGGCAGGCCUAACACAUGCAAGUCGAACGAACCUUUCGGGGUUAGUGGCGGACGGGUGAGUAACACGUGGGAACGUGCCUUUAGGUUCGGAAUAACUCAGGGAAACUUGUGCUAAUACCGAAUGUGCCCUUCGGGGGAAAGAUUAAUCGCCUUUAGAGCGGCCCGCGUCUGAUUAGCUAGUUGGUUGAGGUAAUGGCUCACCAAGGCGACGAUCAGUAGCUGGUCUGAGAGGAUGAUCAGCCACGUUGGGACUGAGACACGGCCCAAACUGCUACGGGAGGCAGCAGUGGGGAAUCUUGCGGAAGGGGCGAAAGCCUGACGCAGCCAUGCCGCGUGAGUGAUGAAGGUCUUAGGAUUGUAAAAUUCUUUCACCAGGGACGAUAAUGACGGUACCCGGAGAAGAAGCCCCGGCUAACUUCGUG
rnacentral:rRNA from 1 species